rnacentral:lncRNA from 1 species
AAAAUUAACUAGAGAUUGAUCCGCACACUCACGCGGUAUUGAUUCUUGCAUUUUUAUAUAUUGAUAUUUUUUUCAUAAUUAGUGUUAUAUAUUUUAGAUGAGUCGUAAUAUAACUAAUUGUAUUCAAAAGACCUGGACCGAAUGGGGUAAUAUGGUUUUGGUACAAAUAUCAGAACCCAUUUCACAUACAUUUGUUAUUUAGAUAUUUUUAUGUUCUUAUACAUCAGAACCGAACUCAUCCAGACCCAGAAAGAUCCCACUCAAAACUCACACAUAAAUUUAUAAUAUUCAAGUGGAGCCUAAUUUCAAAAAAAAAGAAAAACGAUACUCGAAAAGAACAACACGUACCUAAAUGGAUAGCCAAUGUUCAUGUCUAACUGAUUUUAUAAAUUAAUAAAAAGAUUUUUUCUAUGUGUUUGGUUAAAUUAAGUAAAAUAGAAAGAAUUUUUUA